UUUUAAAGAGAGUUUGAUCCUGGCUCAGGACGAACGCUGGCGGCGUGCCUAAUACAUGCAAGUCGAACGAACGGAGGAAGAGCUUGCUCUUCCAAUGUUAGUGGCGGACGGGUGAGUAACACGUGGGCAACCUGCCUGUAAGUUGGGGAUAACUCCGGGAAACCGGGGCUAAUACCGAAUGAUAAGAUGUGGCGCAUGCCACGCCUUUGAAAGAUGGUUUCGGCUAUCGCUUACAGAUGGGCCCGCGGUGCAUUAGCUAGUUGGUAGGGUAAUGGCCUACCAAGGCAACGAUGCAUAGCCGACCUGAGAGGGUGAUCGGCCACACUGGGACUGAGACCACGGCCCAGACUCCUACGGGAGGCAGCAGUAGGGAAUCUUCCGCAAUGGACGAAAGUCUGACGGAGCAACGCCGCGUGUAUGAAGAAGGUUUUCGGAUCGUAAAGUACUGUUGUUAGAGAAGAACAAGGAUAAGAGUAACUGCUUGUCCCUUGACGGUAUCUAACCAGAAAGCCACGGCUAACUACGUGCCAGCAGCCGCGGUAAUACGUAGGUGGCAAGCGUUGUCCGGAUUUAUUGGGCGUAAAGCGCGCGCAGGCGGUCUUUUAAGUCUGAUGUGAAAGCCCCCGGCUUAACCGGGGAGGGUCAUUGGAAACUGGAAGACUGGAGUGCAGAAGAGGAGAGUGGAAUUCCACGUGUAGCGGUGAAAUGCGUAGAUAUGUGGAGGAACACCAGUGGCGAAGGCGACUCUCUGGUCUGUAACUGACGCUGAGGCGCGAAAGCGUGGGGAGCAAACAGGAUUAGAUACCCUGGUAGUCCACGCCGUAAACGAUGAGUGCUAAGUGUUAGGGGGUUUCCGCCCCUUAGUGCUGCAGCUAACGCAUUAAGCACUCCGCCUGGGGAGUACGACCGCAAGGUUGAAACUCAAAGGAAUUGACGGGGGCCCGCACAAGCGGUGGAGCAUGUGGUUUAAUUCGAAGCAACGCGAAGAACCUUACCAGGUCUUGACAUCCUUUGACCACUCUGGAGACAGAGCUUUCCCUUCGGGGACAAAGUGACAGGUGGUGCAUGGUUGUCGUCAGCUCGUGUCGUGAGAUGUUGGGUUAAGUCCCGCAACGAGCGCAACCCUUGAUUUUAGUUGCCAGCAUUUAGUUGGGCACUCUAAAGUGACUGCCGGUGCAAGCCGGAGGAAGGUGGGGAUGACGUCAAAUCAUCAUGCCCCUUAUGACCUGGGCUACACACGUGCUACAAUGGAUAGUACAAAGGGUCGCGAAGCCGCGAGGUGGAGCUAAUCCCAUAAAACUAUUCUCAGUUCGGAUUGUAGGCUGCAACUCGCCUACAUGAAGCCGGAAUCGCUAGUAAUCGUGGAUCAGCAUGCCACGGUGAAUACGUUCCCGGGCCUUGUACACACCGCCCGUCACACCACGAGAGUUUGUAACACCCGAAGUCGGUAGGGUAACCUUUAUGGAGCCAGCCGCCGAAGGUGGGACAGAUAAUUGGGGUGAAGUCGUAACAAGGUAGCCGUAUCGGAAGGUGCGGCUGGAUCACCUCCUUUCUAAG
rnacentral:rRNA from 1 species